rnacentral:lncRNA from 1 species
GCAAAAUGGCGAGGGGGGAGGUAAGCUGUCUUUGCUUGGCCAUCUUGGGCUAGCAGGCCUUGCAGAGAACUACCUUUUUAGCUGAGUGAAGGGAUCAACCUGAGUUGGAGUUCUCCUAUGCUGUGGCCAGAUCCACUAGAAAUUAACCCAGAAUCUUAGCCUCUCAGUGGCCUAUCGGUGAUGCCACACUCAAUCAGAAACUAUGCUACUGCUGAAGAGGUAUAUUGAGCCCUGCCUGGUUAACCUCCAGUGAGGUUAUUAGAGAAUUGGGAGAGGCUCAAAUCAGCAUCCUGCACCUAGUUAUCAAACCAUUGUGAAGUCUUGAUUCCUGGAUGGCCAGAAAACUUGUCAUUGGUCAAGAGCAACAUUAAGAUCUGCCUGUUACUCAUACUGAUGCUUCCUGCCCAGCAAGUUCAUCAGAGGGCGAGGAUGAAUUACGGUUGCCAUGAAUGUCCUUGUGAGGCAGUUGGGAAGCCUUGGCUGGAUUGUGAAGGAUAUUUGAAAAGUAUUUUAGAGUCCACCAGAUCAUCCAUGUGAGUGACCAUGCAGCAAAAGAAGGAGGGUCCUCUCAGUGAUUAAGGAUUAUGAAGUAUUAAUUCUUCCACUGAUAUCUCAAAAGGUGAUCUGGACAAAGGAACAGGUAUCUCAGAUCUUGGGACACCCAGCACGUGACAAAAACAACAGCAGACCCUGGUGCCUGGGAGGACUUCAUGGAUCCAGCAGCAACCUGGAGUGGUGCUCCUCUGAAGAAAUCCUACUCGGAUG